rnacentral:rRNA from 1 species
GACGAACGCUGGCGGCGUGCUUAACACAUGCAAGUCGAGCGAUGAAAUUCCUUCGGGGAUGGAUUAGCGGCGGACGGGUGAGUAACACGUGGGUAACCUGCCUCAUAGAGGGGAAUAGCCUUUCGAAAGGAAGAUUAAUACCGCAUAAGAUUGUAGUGCCGCAUGGUACAGCAAUUAAAGGAGUAAUCCGCUAUGAGAUGGACCCGCGUCGCAUUAGCUAGUUGGUGAGGUAACGGCUCACCAAGGCGACGAUGCGUAGCCGACCUGAGAGGGUGAUCGGCCACAUUGGGACUGAGACACGGCCCAGACUCCUACGGGAGGCAGCAGUGGGGAAUAUUGCACAAUGGGGGAAACCCUGAUGCAGCAACGCCGCGUGAGUGAUGACGGUCUUCGGAUUGUAAAGCUCUGUCUUCAGGGACGAUAAUGACGGUACCUGAGGAGGAAGCCACGGCUAACUACGUGCCAGCCGCCGCCGUAA